UACUCCGUGCCAGCAGUCAGCGUAGUACGAGGUGCGAGCGAUAAUCCGUAGCUACUCGGCGUAAGCGCAUGCAGGUGGUUUGUUAAGUCAGAUGUGAAAGCCCGGGGCUCAACCUCGGAUUAGCAUUUGAAACUGGCAGACUAGAGUACUGUAGAGGGGGGGUAGAAUUUCAGGUGUAGCGGUGAAAUGCGUAGAGAUCUGAAGGAAUACCGGUGGCGACGGCCGGCCCCCUGGACAGAUACUGACACUCAGAUGCGAAAGCGUGGGGAGCAAACAGGAUUAGAUACCCUGGUAGUCCACGCCGUAAACGAUGUCUACUUGGAGGUUGUGGCCUGAGCCGUGGCUUUCGGAGCUAACGCGUUAAGUAGACCGCCUGGGGAGUACGGUCGCAAGAUUAAAACUCAAAUGAAUUGACGGGGGCCCGCACAAGCGGUGGAGCAUGUGGUUUAAUUCGAUGCAACGCGAAGAACCUUACCUACUCUUGACAUCCAGAGAACUUUCCAGAGAUGGAUUGGUGCCUUCGGGAACUCUGAGACAGGUGCUGCAUGGCCGUCGUCAGCUCGUGUUGUGAAAUGUUGGGUUAAGUCCCGCAACGAGCGCAACCCUUAUCCUUGUUUGCCAGCGAGUAAUGUCGGGAACUCCAGGGAGACUGCCGGUGAUAAACCGGAGGAAGGUGGGGACGACGUCAAGUCAUCAUGGCCCUUACGAGUAGGGCUACACACGUGCUACAAUGGCGCAUACAGAGGGCGGCCAACUUGCGAAAGUGAGCGAAUCCCAAAAAGUGCGUCGUAGUCCGGAUUGGAGUCUGCAACUCGACUCCAUGAAGUCGGAAUCGCUAGUAAUCGUGGAUCAGAAUGCCACGGUGAAUACGUUCCCGGGCCUUGUACACACCGCCCGUCACACCAUGGGAUU
rnacentral:rRNA from 1 species